UUCCGGUUGAUCCCGCCGGAGGCCACUGCUAUCAAGUUCCGACUAAGCCAUGCGAGUCAAGGUAUCGUAAGAUGCCGGCAAACUGCUCAGUAACACGUGGAUAAUCUAACCUUGAGUAAGGGAUAACUUCGGGAAACUGAAGGUAAUACCUUAUAAUUGCUUAAAACUGGAAUGUUUUUGCAAUAAAAGUUACGACGCUCAAGGAUGAGUCUGCGACCUAUCAGGUAGUAGGUGGUGUAAUGGACCACCUAGCCUCAGACGGGUACGGGCCCUGGGAGGGGUAGCCCGGAGAUGGACUCUGAGACAUAAGUCCAGGCCCUACGGGGCGCAGCAGGCGCGAACACUGUGCAAUGCGCGAAAGCGCGACACGGGGAGCUUGAGUGUCUUGGCAUAGCCAAGACUUUUCUCAUUCCUAAAAAGCAUGAGGAAUAAGUGCUGGGUAAGACGGGUGCCAGCCGCCGCGGUAACACCCGCAGCACGAGUAGUGGUCACUUUUAUUGAGCCUAAAGCGUUCGUAGCCGGUUUUGUAAAUCUUCAGAUAAAGCCUGAAGCUUAACUCCAGAAAGUCUGAAGAGACUGCAAGACUUGAGAUCGGGUGAGGUUAAACGUACUUUCAGGGUAGGGGUAAAAUCCUGUAAUCCCGGAAGGACGACCAGUGGCGAAAGCGUUUAACUAGAACGAAUCUGACGGUAAGGAACGAAGGCUAGGGUAGCAAACCGGAUUAGAUACCCGGGUAGUCCUAGCUGUAAACAUUGCCCAUUUGAUGUUGCUUUUCCGUUGAGGGAAGGCAGUGUCGGAGCGAAGGUGUUAAAUGGGCCGCUUGGGAAGUAUGGUCGCAAGACUGAAACUUAAAGGAAUUGGCGGGGGGGCACCGCAACGGGAGGAAUGUGCGGUUUAAUUGGAUUCAACGCGGGAUCGAAUUCCGCGGCCGCAUGCGG
rnacentral:rRNA from 1 species